rnacentral:rRNA from 1 species
AUUGAACGCUGGCGGCAUGCCUUACACAUGCAAGUCGAACGGCAGCACGGGAGCAAUCCUGGUGGCGAGUGGCGAACGGGUGAGUAAUACAUCGGAACGUGCCCUGUAGUGGGGGAUAACCGGCGAAAGCCGGACUAAUACCGCAUACGACCUGAGGGUGAAAGCGGGGGAUCGCAAGACCUCGCGCUAUGGGAGCGGCCGAUGUCAGAUUAGCUAGUUGGUGGGGAAAGGCCUACCAAGGCGACGAUCUGUAGCUGGUCUGAGAGGACGACCAGGCCACACUGGGACUGAGACACGGCCCAGACUCCUACGGGAGGCAGCAGUGGGGAA